UACGAAGGGGCUAGCGUUGUUCGGAAUUACUGGGCGUAAAGCGCGUGUAGGCGGGUCUUUAAGUCAGGGUGAAAUGCCAAGGCUCAACCUUGGAACUGCCUUUGAUACUGGAGACCUUGAGUCCGGGAGAGGUGAGUGGAAUUGCGAGUGUAGAGGUGAAAUUCGUAGAUAUUCGCAAGAACACCAGUGGCGAAGGCGGACUCUCUGGACGGUACUGGACGCUGAGACGCGAAAGCGUGGGA
rnacentral:rRNA from 1 species